ACCAGUAAUAAUCUUGAUGCCUGUUGCCAAGCCCUUUCCCAGGAGAGUAACAAAUAUUUAUAUUUGGAAUACCAUAGUCCAGAUAACAAGAUGAAUAGAAAUCACCAUUUGUGUAUUAACUUGGGUAUUCAGUCUUCUCGUAGUUAUCACCCAGGAGAUGGAGCUCAACUUAAUAGUGGACAAACGCUGGUACAUAGCUCAAGUGAUGGGCAUAUUGAUCUACACCAAAGAGUAAGUAAAACAGCUUAUAUAUUUAGUUCAAGAACCACACUCAUUUCCAGCUGUUGUGACUGCCACUUGCAACUAUAAUUUAAUUUUUAUGAUUGAACAGCACAGCAAUGCAGGUAUUCCUUCUUCACAGCCACCUCAACAGUCAUUUUCCAUGCAAAUGGAAAUGAAUCUGUCUGCUAUGCAAGGGUGUGCACUACCAUCACCACCUCCUCCUUCAUUUGUGCACAUUCCUCAGUAUAGUACAAAUCCUGUUACCAUUACAGUAUCUCAAAACCUUGCUUCUUAACAGACGGUACCAAGAGGUUUACAAAUUCCAAGCAAUACAAUGGUUCUCCUGCUUCUAUUUGUGUGAGGCACACCUGUUACAGUAUGCCAUGGUAGUCCUCACUACAGGGCCACUGCCUCAUUAUAGCCAGCAUCCUUUACCUGUUUAUCCACAUCAACAGAACUACCAGACAUCUCAGUAUUCUCCCAAACAGCAGAUUUCUCAGUCAGCUUACCAGUCACCACCUAGGUCUCAAUGUUCUUCACCCUUCAGCUUUCCUCAUCAUCAAGUACAGCCUUCCCAGUUGGGCCACCCAAGUAGUCACAUCUUUGUGCCACCUAAUCAGGACCUCCUGGCUGUCAGAAACAGUGAAAUCAUUCAGUAGCAUAUAUCCAAUACACAACAUCUAGCUUGCACAGAGGAUUCAUGAAAAAGACAGAAAUUAUGGUUUAACCUUCUCAAAGACCUGGAACAGUAAUUAAUAGCUGUCCUUCACCCAUCAGUAAUCAACUUUCCCCAUGUAAUUGGCGUUCUCUCUAUGCAGGCACUGUAACACCUUGAAGUUCUUCAAGGGGAAUGUAUAGUCAAUCAAAGCCUUCAAUGAAUGUGAAUCCCAUGCAUAUUACAUAUACACAACGAAGUGGACCUUCAUGUGCCCUAUCACAGUCUCCUCAGAUAAUACCACAUCUAUCUGCAGUUUUAAAAAUUACUGUAGGUGGAGCAACAACUGAAAAUCUUUUAAAUUUCAUGGACCAAGAUGAAUAGUUGGCAGCGCCAGAACCCGUUCAGCCAAUUUUAGUGACUCCAGGUCCUGGAGGAAAAAAGGUAAGUCAUAAAUAUCAGCGUUCUAGUUCUGGAUCAGAUGACUAUGCCUAUGUACAAGCCUUGCUGUUACAUCAACGAGCAAGGAUGGAGAGGUUAGCAAAGCAGCUGCAACUUGAGAAAGGGGAGCUAGAGCUAUUAAAGGCUGAAGUUAAUGAUAUGGAACAUGACGUGAUGCACAGAUGGCUAAUAAGGGUCAGCUGCACUACUGUGAUCCCAAUGCCUGAGAAAAUAACAAGAUUGAGACGCAUGAACAGACAGCUCUAGAUAAAUGUUGACUGCACACUGAAAGAAGUUAACCUCCUUCAGUCUAGAA
rnacentral:lncRNA from 1 species